GCCAGGCAUGGUGGCGCAUGCCUGUAGUCCCAGCUACUCAGGAGGCUGAGGCAGGAGGAUUGCUUGAGCCCAGGAGUCUGAGGUUGCUGUGAGCUAAGCUGACGCCACGGCACUCUAGCCCCGGCAACAGAGUGAGACUCUGUCUCAAUCAAUCAAUCAAUCAAUAUUGCAGAAUAUGACUAAUUGAAAGUGUGAUACAUGAACAUUGUUUUGUUUCGUUUUGAUUUUUUGAGACAGGGUCUAACUCUAUUGCCCAGGUGAGAGUACAGCGGCAUCAUUGUAGCUCACAGCAACCUUAAAGUCCUGGGCUCAAGCAAUCCUUCUGCCUCA
rnacentral:sRNA from 1 species